rnacentral:rRNA from 1 species
UGGACUGNGUACUGGUUACGCGAGCGGNACCGCAACGGAAGGGGCAGCCGACCACGGUAGGGUCAGCGACUGGGGUG